UGGUGAGAGCUUCAUAUAACAAAGAGAGACACACACACGAUAUAACAUGAGAGAGCAGAGAGAGUAAACGGAAAAAAGGGGCGAGAGAACGAGAGAGAAACUGGGGAGAAGGGAACAAAAAUCGAGCGACUUUCUCCUUCGUUUUCUUCCUCAUUGACAACAACCUUCCCUGGUCUUCUUCGUCUUCCUUCCUCAAAAACGCAGCAGCUGAAAAGCACCUAAAACAACCACUUAAACUCCUUAUAAUAAACCCACUUAUCACAAAACACCCCUGUUUCAUCCGAGAAAAUAUGCACAAAACCUUCUGUUUGCUACAAUAAACUGCAAAGUUUUUUCACGAUAAUACUCUGUCGGAAUUUAGAGUCUAGUUUAAGGUAUUUUCCGGUCAAAGGUAAGGUCACCGUUCGAGUUUUACGGCGAGGUUUCGAGGUUCCGUCAUCGACGAGGUUUCCGUUCCGGGUUCUGUUGAUGGAGUCUUAUUUCUGCUAAUAGAUCGAUACUCCUCUGUACAAAUUUGCCUUAGCAAUAUAGAAGGAAGUUUACUGCUUUGAGGUUCAUUCUUUUCUUCAAGUUUUAUUAGUAGCUUAUAUGCCUAUAAGAUAUUGUUUAGUUGCUGUUGAGCUGACAAUUUUUUAUAGCUUCUGUUUGUUAAAGCUUUCAAAUAUAGGCCUCAUUGGUUUAUGUAAAUCUCAUAAAAUUUUGUUCAAAUUGUUGAAUAUGGUCUCUUGAUUCUAUGUUACGUGAGAUUUGUCAUGCCUUUUUGUUUGUUACAAUUGCUUGGGUGUGAGUUACCGUUGUGGCAUGUUUUAGUAUUGUCAAUAUUUAGCGAAGAUUAAUUAAUAUUAUUGUUUUGAUCAAUCAACUCGUUAAGUUGUAAAUAAUACAUAGUAGUUCGCUAAUAUUUUAAAGAGCUCAUUACAACUCUAUAUCUAUAACUCAUGACCUUACAAUAAUCUCAAAUUCAAGAAAAAAACAAUUUAUGAAUACUCAUAGUUUGCUCUAGGCGCGAUUAAUAAUAAAUCAUCGUGGCCAUGGGUACGGUUCCGUGGCAUGGUCACAAUACGUAAAUCACAAUUCAAGUGUUGUAAUGACCCGACCAAUCGUUUUAAGAGUUGUAACCUUGUUUCCCCCAUUUACUGCUCCUUUUAUACUUUAUAGUUGUUAUGUGACUUGCCGGGCUAGUCGGUUCGGGUCCGGUGAGGUUUUGAAAUGAAUUGAGACACUUUGUCUUCAAGAUAAAAACUUAAGUUGCAAAGGUUGACCGGAUGUUGAGUUAUGUGUAAAGGUUGACCCUGGAAUAGAAUUUUGAUGAUUCCAAUAACUCCGUAUGGUGAUUUUGGACGUAGGAGCGUGUCCGAAAAAUUAUUUGGAGGUCCGUAGUUAAAUUAGGCUUGAAAUGGCUAAAACAGAAAUUUAAGUUUGGAAGUUUGACCAGGGAGUUGACUUUUUGAUAUCGGGGUCGGAAUCCGAUUCUGGAAAUUUAUAUAGGUCUGUUAUGUCAUUUAUGACUUGUGUGAAAAAUUUGAGGUCAAUCGCACUUGAUUUGAUAGGUUUUGGCAUCGAAUGUAGAAGUUGAAAUUUCUUAGUUUCAUUAGGCUUGAAUUGGGGUAUGAUUCGCGUUUUUAUCAUUAUUUGAUGCGAUUUGGGUUUCGACUAAGUUCUUAUGAUUUUUUAGGACUUGUUGGUAUAUUUGGUUGAGGUCUCAAAGGCCUCGGAUGAGUUUUGGAUGCUUAACGAAUAAAUUUUGGACUUGGUAUUUUUGCUGAAGUUUUCUGGUGCACUGUCUGGUUUCCUUCUACACGAUCGCGUGAAAAGGUCCGCGAUCGCGUAGUCUUAAUUGGGCAGCAGAGAUUUUUGUGCUAUGCGAUCGCGAAGCAAAUGGUCAGCAGUGCUACGUGAAUGCGUGGAUUAAGUCGCGUUCGUAUAGAGUAAAGAAGGGAGCUGAAUGUUUCACGCGUUGUGCUACGUUCGCGUUCGCAUGGUUGUCCGCAAUCGCGUAAGGUUGAGAAAGUUGUGAUUCGCGUCCGCGUGAUGGAGUUCGCGAUCACGUAGGGUAAUUUUUGGGCAGUGGAAAGUUGUACUUCGCGAUCGCGAGACUUGGUCUGCGAUCGCAUAGAAGAAAUGACUGGGCAGAGAGUUUAAGCAUUUUUGACAAAUUGGAGCUCGGGAAGAGGUGAUUUUUGGGAUAUUUUCAAAAAUAAUAAUGAGGUAAGUGUUCUUAACUCAAUAUUGGUCAAAUUACCCGAAUUCAUGGUUGUUUUUAACAUUUAAUUGGUUAAUUAAGUUGGAAGAUUUAGAAAACCUUUUGGUUUAAUUUGAAGAUUUGAGGGUCGAGUUGAUGUUGGAUUUUAGUAAAAAUUGUAUGGUUGGGAAUGAGCGUUCGUAUUUUGUAACUUUUGUUGGGUUCCGAGACGUGGGAUCCACAGAUAAUUUUUGGGUUAAAUUUCGGAUUUUGUUAGAAAAUUUAUAUUUUCACAUGGAAUUUAUUCCUAUAAUUUGUAUUGAUUGAAUCGAAUUAAUUAUGACUAGAUUCGAGCCGAUCGGAGUCGGAAAAUCGAGGGAAAGACAUUCUUAUUAAUUGAUUGAGCGUGGUUUGAGAUAAGUGACUUGUCUAACCUUGUGUGGGAGAAAUUCCCCUUAUGAUUGGUAUUGAUAUGAAAAUUUUUGAUGUGUUGAAAGUCAUGUACACGAGCUGACGAGUGUGUACACAGGCUAAAUGUGGAAGAUUAUGUCUUUAAACUGUUGCAUAUUAAUUAAAUUAUUUUAUUCUGUUAUAUUCAUCAUCAUUAAUAUAUUUUCGCAUUUUAAAUUUGCCUGACCUAUUCCUACUAAAUGUUUUACAUGUUUAGAUGAAACUCUGUUUCUUUUCUUGUGUGCAAUAGUUGAAGGUUGAAUUUCUUAAUUUAAAUAUUAUUAAAAUAAAAUAUUUUACGUUUAAAAAUUUGAUAUUAAGGCAAGGUGUUAAAUUUAUGAAAUAUUAUUUUUGCUGAGUUAUUCAUUCAUGAAUAUUUUGUGAGAUUUUGUACUCAUUGUGAUUGAGUCGUGAGCUCCUUAUUGUGGAAAAUAUUGUUGUUGAUUUAUUUUUGACAAGUUGAAAUAUUUGGGCACUUGAGGUGCAAAUUGUGAUAUAUUGUGAUAUUGAUACGCAAGCAAUAGUAUAAGGUCUGGGUGUUGAAACGCAUGUGGUGAGAUAAGAGUGGCUUGAUACGCGUGGCUAGUAGGGGAACUACUAGAAGUUAUGCGGUGUGAUAAGGGUGGCUAAAACGCGGGAUGCUAUUUCAGGAAAAAUGAUUUCUUUAAAAUUAAAUGUGAAAGCUACCGCGGUGAUAUAAGAAAAUGAUAUAUUGUGAAUUUAUUUAUGAUUUGGGACUACGAUGCGGUACAUUGGGAGUGCCCUUGUUGAUAUUUCUUUAUGGCUGCAUUUGCCUUUGGUUAUUUUGGUGAUUUUUUUAAAGUUGUAAAUUUAUGUUUUCUUUCCGCAAGAUAUUAUUUGUCCUUAUUCUGUGAAUUUAAAUUGUGACAUACUACUUACUUGAUUCAUUCUCAUUGUCAUUUUGUUAUUAUUAUAUUGUUAAACUUUUCAUCCUGUCUUUUAUUAUUCCAGUAGGGCCUUACAUGACCUCGUCACUACUCUACCGAGGUUAGGCUUGACACUUAUUGGGUACCGCUGUGGUGUACUCAUACUAGGUUUCGGCACAUCUUUUUGUGCAGAUCCAGGUACGCCCUAUCAGACCAGACAUCAGUGAAUUUGACUGUACACGGAGACUUCAAGGUACAUCUGUCAGCAUCCCCAGACCCUGGAGUCCCCUUCUUUCCUUAUUAUGUCGUUUUUCUUAUUUUCUUUAGACCCUGAUGUAAAGAGAC
rnacentral:lncRNA from 1 species